ACCUGGGUGGCUCAGUCGGUUAAGCGUCUGACUUUGGCUCAGGUGGUGAUCCCGCAGUUUGUGGGUUUGAGCCCCGCGUCGGGUU
rfam:Felis catus isolate Cinnamon breed Abyssinian chromosome A1, whole genome shotgun sequence.